rnacentral:rRNA from 1 species
CAUGCAAGUCGAGCGAGAAAGUGACUUCGGUCGCGAGUAAAGCGGCGAACGGGUGAGUACAACGUGGAUAAUCUACCCUAGGGUCUGGGACAACCCCGAGAAAUCGGAGCUAAUACCGGAUAAGACCACAGUAUCCAAGGAUACAGUGGUAAAAGAUUUAUCGCCUUUGGAUGAGUCCACGUCCCAUCAGGUAGUUGGUAAGGUAAAAGCUUACCAAGCCUAAGACGGGUAGCCGGCCUUAGCGGGUGAACGGCCACAUGGGGACUGAGACACGGCCCUGACUCCUACGGGAGGCAGCAGUGGGGAAUAUUGGGCAAUGGGCGAAAGCCUGACCCAGCGAUGCCGCGUGAGGGAUGAAGGCCUUCGGGUUGUAAACCUCUGUCAGGAGGGACGAUGGGACACUUGUGUCUUGACGGUACCUCCAGAGGAAGCCCCGGCUAACUCUGUGCCAGCAGCCGCGGUAAUACGGAGGGGGCAAGCGUUGCUCGGAAUUACUGGGCGUAAAGGGUCCGCAGGCUGUCAGGCAAGUUGGUUGUGAAAGCUCAAGGCUUAACCUUGGAAUUGCAUCCAAAACUGCCUGACUAGAGUCCAAGAGAGGUUGGCGGAAUUCCCGGUGUAGCGGUGAAAUGCAUAGAUAUCGGGAGGAACACCAGAGGCGAAGGCGGCCAACUGGCUUGGAACUGACG